CCUACGUGAGGCAGCAGUAGGGAAUAUUGCUCAAUGGGGGAAACCCUGAAGCAGCAACGCCGCGUGGAGGAAGAAGGUCUUCGGAUUGUAAACUCCUUUUGUUAGAGAAGAUAAUGACGGUAUCUGACGAAUAAGCACCGGCUAACUCCGUGCCAGCAGCCGCGGUAAUACGGAGGGUGCAAGCGUUACUCGGAAUCACUGGGCGUAAAGAGUGCGUAGGCGGGAUAGCAAGUCAGAUGUGAAAUCCUAGGGCUUAACCAUAGAACUGCAUUUGAAACUGUUAUUCUAGAGUGAGGGAGAGGUAGGUGGAAUUCUUGGUGUAGGGGUAAAAUCCGUAGAGAUCAAGAGGAAUACUCAUUGCGAAGGCGACCUGCUGGAACAUAACUGACGCUGAUGCGCGAAAGCGUGGGGAGCAAACAGGAUUAGAUACCCUAGUAGUC
rnacentral:rRNA from 1 species